rnacentral:lncRNA from 1 species
GUUAUUACAUUCUUGAUAUGAUAGAACAGUCAUAGAAACGAGGAAUAAAGGUUUUCCUCAAUAUACAAACCAUCACUCAAAAUUUAAACUUAAUACAAUUCAAACUUAAAACGAUUAAAACAAGGAUCUCGUCCAUAUGAGCUAAACACUAGUCGAUCCUCCAUCUAACGCCUGUUCCACCAGCGUCUCACCACUUUCUGCUCACACCCACCGGAUGAUCAUCGCCAAGAGAAAACACACCACACAACAGUAACCGCCAACAACAGAUAAAGCAAGGGUGAGCUAUUGUAACAAAGUAACAUGAUAUAUUUAAAUUAAUAACAUAAUAUCUAACUUAUAAAUCAAAUCUCUUAAUAAUAAAAUAAACACACCAU